CUUGUUCCCGCAGGGCUCCGGGCGGCCGUGACCCUGCUGGAGUGUGGGGGGGACCUCCAGCCCCCCGGGGGGUCCCUGACUCUGCUCUGCCGUGGGUCUGGAUUCACGUUUGGGAGUUUUGGCAUGUACUGGGUCCGCCAGAGCCCCGGGAAGGCGCUGGAAUCUGUCGCAGGGAUCAGCAGCAAUGGUAGCACCACCUACUACGCGCCAUCAGUCAAGGGUCGGUUCACGAUCUCCAGGGACAACGGGCAGAGCUCGGUGACGCUGACCAUGAACAGCCUCAAGGACGAGGAUUCCGCCGUUUAUUUCUGUGCCAAAAGUGCUAGUGCUGGUGCUGGUUGGGGUGCUGGUGCUAUCGAGAACCGGCCCUGGACUGACGGCGCGUACCAGGUGUAA